GUGGUAAUUAAAUGCGUGCUGUGGUAUUCUGUACGUGCGCCAAUGAGGGAUAACAAUGUGGACGCUCAGAAUUCUGCUGCAGAAACAAAUGAGGAAACAUGAUUGCUUACCUUUAUGACAGUGUUCAUUAGGUUAAAAUGAUGGAAUCACAGUAAGUGUUCCUCCAACUCCUCCUCCUAACCCCAACUCCACCCUGAGUAAACACGGUGCUUGCCCUUUAUAUAUAUUAUUCUUUAACGACCCUAAAGGUAAGUGCAUUAUCCCUAUUUUACAGAUACAGAAGUUGAGGAUUAGAAUGUUCGAUAACUGGAGUAAGUCACGUCACACAGCUCUUAAGUCAGGGAGCCAAGAUUUGAACCCGGGAGUUUUGCCUCUGGGACCUACACGCAUGCACCACUGUACCCCACAAUAUUAUGACUGCACACAUACAAUGCCCAUAGUUUCUCUGACAGCACAUGAUGAAAAUAAGGGCUACUCUAAGUGUGGUCUGCGGACCAAUGUCAUCAGCAAACUGCAGACAGUUAUGAAAAGGAGACCUCCAGUCAUACUCCCAAAAAGGAAGCUUGCCAAGCAGUAUCUCCCGACUUGUGCUGUUCUGCCUGGCACUGGAGGGGCCAAGGCUGUACUUUUCCCCACCGUCUACUCUCUGGAUGCUCUACAGAUCUGCACACAGCCAUCUGGUUGGAUGGAGUAGAGCAGCCGCUGUUCUACCGCAGGUGGAAAUCUAAGAAAGUCUACUGUGUGUCACAUAGUAGGUACUCAAGAAAUUUUAAUGACUACAUUCCAGGAAGCCUUCAUCCAUGACCCUUUUAAAGACCCAGCUCUCCAUUCAAAACCAAGAGUGCCACAAUAAUGAUUCCAGCUGACCCCCACCUAGAUACCUGCUAAGCUUCAGAAUUCAAUGGAAAAGUUCCAGAUCAGUGACAGAGGAAGCAGAUGGGUAGAGAAAUAAUUGUCCCCAUCCACAUGUUACCAUGUAACUAAAAAUACUCAAGGAUUUAA